AUACCUUUCUCAGCCUUUUGGCUAAAAUAAGAUGUAAUAUUUAUUCUUAUCAGUUUAAAAUUUGAUGUGGACCAUAUGUUUACUCUGAUAUUACAUUUAUUUUUCAUUUUAUCGCUA
rnacentral:snRNA from 1 species